UGCUGCUGUCUCUCGGCUUCGAUGAUGUCUCCUCCUGAUGCCCUACAUCAAACCUCAGUUUCAUUUACGGAAUAUCUGUGGUAUUCUUACUCAUUAAGAGGCAACAACAACGUUUCCCUAAGGGCCACCUCAAUUAUUAUGGUUAUAAUUAAAUGCAACUGGCCGCAGGUCUCAUUCACCGUCUCCGUCUCAGACUCAGUCUCGCUCUUUUGGCCAACAGUUUGCAAUUACCAGAUUGUUCCAUUUAACCCAAGAACUGGUGAUAUGAUAAUGAUGAUGAGCAGCAGCAGCAGCAGCAGCAGCAGGAGCCAGGAGUAUCAGCCGCAGAAGCAGCAGGAGACUGCUGCAGCAACAUCUGUAGAAACAAAACAAAAUAAUUUGAUUUAAUUUAAUUUGCCAGCAUGUGCAAAUAAUGUAAAACAUUUCUCAACAUGUAAGUGCCAUUGCAAAUUGACUGCCAGUCAGUCAUUCAGUCAGUCAGUCAGUCAGUCAGUCAGGCGGAGAGCGGCCACAGCCACAGUGGAAAGCGGUGGGAAGCAGCGACAGAUACAACUGCAGCCACAUUUGAGCACCGAUGGAAACAGCAACAGCAACAGCCGCACACCAUCAAGGAGACCACCGACAACAACGCUAGCAACAAAAACAAGCAGCACGGCCACACUGACAGCAACUGGCAAUGGAAUAUUCCUGCAUAUUGUGCAAACAAUAAACAUUGUUAAUUAAUUUACUUCAACUCGAACGACGGCAACUGCACUUUGGCUUACCCCACCGAUAAGGAUGACUUUAAGCUUCUCUGCACACACACACACACACACACACGCACACAAAUUGCGUAAGGGCAUUGGAGGAUAAUGAGGGAGUACUCGUACAUUCCAAAAAUGGGAAAUUGUCGGCCAUUCCGAUUGAAUGAUUGAAGGGAUAGCUUCUUAUCUUGUUGCUGAUCUGGAAAAUGAGAUAAAAUUAAUGAAAUGGAAGGAUCACUAAGGAAGAAGCCUAACAAAAUCAAGGAAAAAGGAUUUACAGGGUUUUAACUGAAGCAAUUGACAGAGAGCUAAAGGACGGCAGAGAUGAAGAGCGGACGCGGCUAAAGUGAGUAAGAGUCGACAAACUGACGGAUUAUAGAGAAGGAACCUCCAACUUUUUUUGCCCAUAAAUUAAGAAGCAACUACAGGGCAGUGCAGCAGCCACUUAGGAUUUACCUUCGCAGCCCACACUCGCAAACAUUUAUGGCCGCACCGGAGGCAAACAACAAAGGCAUUUUAAUUAAAUUAAAUUCGUGCGAAAACAAUUUGAAGAAGAAAUAUAUUUAUAUUUUACGAGCGUGCCCUGCGAAAAACGGGGCAAAUAAAAAGUCCGAGCAGCAGGAACGUGUUGCGACCAGCAAAUUGAGCAGAAGACCAGACCGAUAUACAAUGCCGAAAGACGACCAAUCUGCAGCCGAAAAGGAUGUGCCUGCCAACACAAAAGCGGUUCAUUAAUUGAAUGGGGAAUUACAACAAAGUCAGCGAUAAGUUGUCUAGCCAACCACCGGGCGAGCACUCAGCCAUUCAGCCACUCAACCACUCAACCACUCGAACAAUCAACCACUCAACCUCCUGUGUACCGUGUCCCGUGUCCUGUGUCGGAGUCCGAGUCGGAGACAAACCGCAUUUCUUGGAGCAGGCAGCUGGCCGAAACCCUGGCAACAAAAUGGUCUCCAGUUUCAAGGGUAAUACAAGACGAUAAUUGGAAUCGGAAAAGCAAAGUGCAGUGGACAGCGAGGUGUAUAAUCAUCACUCAAAUUAUGCGUACAGCUCGUACAUAUUUAUAGCAUUGCAAAUUUAAAUGAUAAAUGCUUACACAAAAUGUAACAUACAAAUAAAGGAAUUAAAUAAAAUUUAAA